rnacentral:rRNA from 1 species
CUCGUAGGCGGGUCAAUCAGUCAAUGCUGAAAUCCCACGACUUAAUCGUGGAACUGGUGUUGAUACUGUUGAUCUUGAGUGGGAGAGAGGCAAGCGGAAUUCCUGGUGUAGCGGUGAAAUGCGUAGAUAUCAGGAGGAACACCAAAGGCGAAGGCAGCUUGCUGGCUCCAUACUGACGCUGAGGAGCGAAAGCGUGGGGAGCAAACAGGAUUAGAUACCCUGGUAGUCC